GACGAACGCUGGCGGCGUGCUUAACACAUGCAAGUCGAGCGGUAAGGCCCUUUCGGGGGUACACGAGCGGCGAACGGGUGGAGUAACACGUGGGUGACCUGCCCUCAGCUCUGGGAUAAGCCUGGGAAACUGGGUCUAAUACCGGAUAUGACCCCAUGUACGCAUGUCGUGGGGUGGAAAGCCUUGUGCGGCUGAGGAUGGGGCCCGCGGCCUAUCAGCUUGUUGGUGGGGUGAUGGCCUACCAAGGCGACGACGGGUAGCCGGCCUGAGAGGGCGACCGGCCACACUGGGACUGAGACACGG
rnacentral:rRNA from 1 species